AUUAUACUCCCUCCGUUCGUAAAUACUUGUCGGAGGAAUGGAUGUAUCAAGACGUAUUUUAGUUUUAGAUACAUCCAUUUUUAUGCAUUUCUCCGAUAAAUAUUUUUAAACAGAGGAUUAGAAG
rfam:Triticum urartu cultivar G1812 contig23399, whole genome shotgun sequence.